rnacentral:tmRNA from 1 species
AUUCACCACCUACCUGCUGCCACUGGCACUUGUCUUGGCGUCGUGUAUGCCCCUCCGCAAACGUGUUUGGCCAUCCUGCGGGAUGGUCUAGGAGGCGAUGAGUUGCAGGCAGCGCUCUGGGGGCACCAUUGGGGUGUCUCGUCCGGUGUUUGAGCAGUGGCGCACACAUCCCUCCAUGGAAAAGUGGUGUGGCCGUUCUGCGUGGACGGUCGGAGGCGAUGAGUCCAGGCGACUUGGCGGUAACCGCUAACGAGCUGCACUGUUCACACUGAUGGGCACGCCCUCAGGGCAACCAACGGCUGUGCUGGCGUCUAUGCGUUGUUGAGCAGUUGUUGCGCACAUGUAAGCGUUGGUGUGAAGGGAGCAUACUGUCGUGGCGAUAGGCCAUGGCUCACACAAAGUGUGGCUGCUCUUGGACCCAUCUGCGAGCAAGUGUGCUACGUCCGUGGCUGUGAUGAGACGACGCGGUAGGGCCGAGUGCUUGCUAGCGCACGGCUUAAGACUUGAUGAGCUCAGUGAGAGGAGCCGCCAGCAAUCUUUUUUCAACUACAAUUUUUUACGGAGCGAAAGCAGAGAAAUU